AUUGAAAUACUGACUCCCAUACGAUCACUGAAGUUAAGCAACAUCAAGCUUGGGCAGUACCUAGAUGGGUGACUACUUGGGAAUACCAGGUGCUGUAAG